GUCUGCUAGAGUUUGCUGGAGUUCACUCCAGACCCUGUUUGCCUGGGUAUCACCAGCGGACCCUGCAAAACAACAAAGAUUGCUGCCUCUGGAAGCUUUGUCCCAGAGGGACACUCACCAGAUGCCAGGCAGAGCUCUCCUGUAUGAACUUUUGGUUCCAGAGGGCCAUAGUCUUCAUAUACUUCAGCAUUUCAUGAAGACUUUCUUGGUACUGUUCAAAGGCCAGAGGAUCUACUACCACAGAACCAUUCGAGAUGUGAGUUCCCAGUGUGAAAGGACUGGGAGUUAACAGAAGAGCCACAGUGAG